rnacentral:rRNA from 1 species
AACGAACGCUGGCGGCAUGCCUAACACAUGCAAGUCGAACGGGAUCCUAGCUUGCUAGGUGAGAGUGGCGGACGGGUGAGUAACACGUGGGAAUCUGCCUUUUGGUUCGGGAUAACCGCGGGAAACUGCGGCUAAUACCGAAUGCCCUCGAGAGAGGAAAGAUUUAUCGCCAGAAGAGGAGCCCGCGUCCGAUUAGGUAGUUGGUGGGGUAAAAGGCCUACAAGCCGACGAUCGGUAGCUGGUCUGAGAGGAUGAUCAGCCACACUGGGACUGAGAUACGGCCCAGACUCCUACGGGA